AGCAGGAGCAAUCCGUACAUCAGGCCGCCCUCCCGUGUAUUGUGGUGUCUUACCCAGUAGCCGCUGUUUCGUCCACUGCAAGGAGGCUCGUUGAUGGUCCGCAGUCGUGAUUCAGCCCUUAUUUUUUUUGCCUCGCUGAAAAAUGGGAAGCACAGUGAUGGAGCCCGGCAAGGGAGGCUCCAAGAAGCUGCCCAAGAGGAAGAGAAGUCUGCGUAUUAACAUGCCUGACUUCUCUCCAUUCGCUUCUCCCCAGGUCGAAACGAGUUGCUCAGCUAGAAGUCCGAAGAAGGGGGAGCGUUGCAUCCCUUCAGCCAGUCCGUCCAGAGGAGAAUCCGCCACGAACCCGCCACCGUCACCGUGUCUACAGUUGUCCCCAGUGCAGUCCAAAUCCAGCUGGGGCUCCCCAAAGAACAUCUUUUCUUCUUCCAGCUCUCAGAUUUCCCCACCCAAAUCCCCCCGCCGCCUCAGCUUCAGUGGCAUCUUCCGCUCAUCAUCCGGCAACAACUCAACAAGCAUCAAGAUAUUUUCCAGAACCCGUAGAGCCUCUGGUGUCUCCACACCACCCACCACCCCAACACAGGCCUCCAACCAGUCUGUGUUCACCCAGGAGGCCCAGCAGGGCGGCCCCAGCCCAGAACGCUCUUGGGAGCGGUCCCGCCCUCGCUCGGUGUCCACGCCUCUGGACACGGGACAGCGCCUCGGUCUUCCCUUCACUAAACCCCCGAAACCUUCUUCCAGCCCCGUGCCGGCACAUUCUACCUCGCAACAGGUGUCCGGUUUAUUCGAAGGCAUGCUGGAGAAACUUGAACUAGACGACGACGCUGCCGAGCCAGAGAAUGAUAUUUACAUGCGCUUUAUGAAAUCACACAAGUGCUACGACAUUGUGCCAACCAGCUCCAAGCUGGUCGUGUUCGACACCGCUCUUCAAGUUAAGAAAGCCUUCUUUGCCUUGGUUGCCAAUGGUGUGCGAGCAGCUCCACUGUGGGACACAGAGAAGCAAAGCUUUGUAGGCAUGCUGACAAUCACAGACUUCAUCAUCAUCCUUCACAGAUACUACAAGUCACCAAUGGUGCAAAUAUAUGAGCUGGAAGAACAUAAGCUUGAGACGUGGAGAGAGGUUUACCUUCAAGCAACAUUCAAGCCCCUUGUCAACAUAUCACCUGAAGCAAGCCUUUUCGACGCCGUGUACACUCUCAUCAAAAACAAAAUUCACCGCCUGCCUGUCAUCGACCCGGUCACCGGGAAUGCACUUUAUAUUCUCACGCACAAGAGGAUCCUCAAGUUCCUCCAGCUCUUUAUGUGUGAGAUGCCAAAGCCAGCUUUCAUGAAGCAAACCUUGGGGGAGUUGGGCAUUGGCACGUACCAGGACAUUGCCUUCAUCCACCCCUGCACGCCUAUCAUCAAAGCCCUCAACAUCUUUGUGGAGAGGAGAGUGUCUGCUUUGCCUGUGGUCGAUGAGUCAGGCAAAGUUGUGGACAUUUACUCCAAGUUUGACGUCAUCAACCUGGCAGCCGAGAAGACUUACAACAACCUGGACAUCACGGUUACCCAAGCCCUCAAGCAUCGCUCCCAGUACUUCGAAGGAGUCAUGAAGUGCCAUAAAAUGGAAACAAUGGAAACUAUUGUGGACAGAAUUGUCAAAGCAGAAGUACAUCGCUUGGUGGUGGUGGACGAGCGUUCCAGCAUCGAGGGCAUCGUCUCGCUGUCGGACAUCCUCCAGGCGCUGGUGCUCAGUCCGGCAGGUAUCGACGCCCAGCGUAGCUAACUGCGACUGGUCUCGGUUACCGGAUACGCCCGCCCCGCCCCCACCCCGAGCCCCUUCCUCUCCUACCCCGCCCUCUCAUUCGGUCCCAGACAGCUGCAAGGAGGAGAACCUGACCGAGUGAGAUGGAAGCUUCAGCAAAAGAAAGCUGUGGUGAGAGCUAAAAACCAGGGAGAAAAAAAAUGAGAAGCAAGCUGACGCUACGCGGUAACCAAAGAGGCGCGAGCACUGAGGACUGCGCUUGUUGAAUGUACUCUACGUGUUGUUGACUCAUCAGACCAGUACUUGUAUGCUGUGUACAUAAGAAUAUAUAUAUAUAGUCAUUAUAAAUGUUUAAAAAAGAAAAAAAUGCGCACUAUUCAAGUCACCUUUACUGUCUUUAAUACGGUUCAGUUUGCAGCUUGCGUUCCCACAUUUAAAUCUUUCUGAAAAACUGUUAACAAGCUUUGGUAGGUGCUGCUGUUUUGAUAAGUUUAAAAGGGCUCCGCAGUUAACUCUUUAUGUCGACAAGAGCAUCUCUAAGGUAAUUCCAAUUGUUUUGCAUUUUGUUCUCUGUGGAAAAGGGAGUCAUGACGGUCUAUUUGACGAUAUACACGACAUGCUUUUCAAAAAAACGCUGAUGCUUUGAAGUGUGACUGAAGUGCAUUGUAAUUUUUUUCUGAAAAGAAUGUUCAUAAAAGAAACUUGACUGCAGCUGGAUUUGUGACUCAUCGUCUCGAUGGACUGUAAAUAGGAGCAACUUUUUGUCAAACAAAGCUUUAUUUUCUAUGACUUAAAUGACAGCGGUUUUUUGGUUAUUUUUUGUAAAUAUGCCACUGGAUCCACAAGUACUGUAAAUGUGUAAGCAUGACAAACUACACUUGGAGCAGUAUUGAAUGUUUUGGUUUUUUUUCCAAUUCUUCUGCCUGCAGAAAAAAUAAAAAGGCACUGAAUGUACAUCACUCAUUUGUUUGUACUUUGUCCUGUACAUUGUUUUUAUAAUACUGUACAUUGGCAGCCAUUGACUGUGAUAAUCAUCCAAUCCAUGUGAACUGUGAAUAUGGUAGCAAUCAUUCACCCUUUCAGUCCAAAUGAAUUGGACAUCUGUCACUGUUAAUGACACUGAAAUAUGCAUAGAAACAUAUUUUGCAUUUACCACGUACCACAUAGUUCACAAGUGUUGGCCAGAUUUUUCAUUUGAAAACAAAAUAUUUACAAUUUAUCUCUUUUUAUUUAAAAAAAAAAAAAAAAAAAAAAAGUAAUCCGUUUUCCCAUUUUUAAAUAUAUAAAAAAGUCAAUACUUUUUUUUCAAUUUCCCUUAAUAGACCAAAGAACAGUUCAUUCGAUAAUCGAUUCGUUUUCGAUUGAUCAUGGAAGAUCUUGAUGGCUGGCAUAGAGGCCCACUGAAGGAAAUCAUAACUACGAUGUUCAAGGGUGUAAGGUUUGCAUAAGGACGGUAGGGACAACACUAACAACCUUUCAGUAUGCUCAAAUUGAUCAAAACGUUUAAGCAACCUUAUUUGCAUUAUAUAAUGACAUCAGUAAGAAAGUAUUGGUAAUUUAGAUUUUCUUCCCAUAUGUUGUAAGGAUAGAAUUUGCCAUUAUUAAGUGAAUUAUUUGCAUUAUGUUCAGACUUACAUUUACCCCUUUCCCCACUUGCUGAAUGUGCCAGUCCAUCCUCAAAAGCAAGUAUUUUAUUUAAUUUGUACGUUAAUGGGUCAUUAUCAAUAUAAAGUGCCUUUUGGUGUCCUCAUCAGAAACACCCAGCUAUCAUGAAAAUGUAUACAAAUAAUUAAGCGCUAAUGUGUUAUAGGAGAACAAUGAUUUUCACACAUCUGGACAACAAUGUCUCUUAAAAUGUGUUUUCUUUAUUGUAUGUGUACUUUUUGCUUUUCAUAUACUCAAUUUUGGAAUGUCCCACACACUGCACUGCUAACUUCAGUGUGUGUAAUAAAUAGUUAAAUGAUAAAAAUUUUUUUUUUUUUUUUUUUUUUUUUUU